rnacentral:rRNA from 1 species
ACGCUCGACACCUACGGGGGGCAGCAGUGGGGAAUAUUGCACAAUGGGGGAAACCCUGAUGCAGCGACGCCGCGUGAAGGAAGAAGUAUCUCGGUAUGUAAACUUCUAUCAGCAGGGAAGAAAAUGACGGUACCUGACUAAGAAGCCCCGGCUAACUACGUGCCAGCACGCCGAGUAUCNGNGGCGGNGNGAGAG